rnacentral:lncRNA from 1 species
AUGAGACAUCAGAAGCCUGCCUGGAGUGGACCCCCGGAUCAACGCGGAGGCAACCGGAUCAAACACCGCAAUCACAAGGAAAGGAGAAAUAAAGUCUCACUCCUCGGACUUGUGCAGGUACAGGGAGUGACAACUGGAAGCCCUACCAACAAUUCCAAUGAUAAUGCUGCUGCUGUCAACAAUUCCAUGUUCAUAAAGGACAACUCAGCCGGCCAACCUCCAUGCCUGCCCCCUAGGUUGAUUCGUCGCCCCAAUUCAGCAGGAAGUAGAUACAGAAGACAGACUCUCCACCCCUUUUCCUGCCUGCCAUGGACAUGUUGGCUGUCGAUUGUCAUCCAAAAUCAAAGAGUGGGGAAUGUUAGGGAAUUGAUCAUGUUAAAGUAUUCUGUGACGCCGCCUCACAGGCUGCAUUCUCCUGGUACAUCUUGGCUCCUAAAAUGACCUCAUGCCCUUAUCUCUGGUUUGCCUCCCCACCAAGGCCACAGUGGUCCAGGAAAGUUGAAACCUGUGUCUUCAGGACUGGGCCCAUAAAAGCAAUCUGGCCUGUGAUAGGUUAAAAGUAGCUCACUCCUUAUAAAUAAGCAAUAGCCCACCCCAAACUGAUAAAAGGACCUUCCUUUCUUUGUUCUUCUCUCGCCUUCUGCUUCUUCUUCCUCCUCUCUCUCUCUCUCUCUCUCUCUCUGCCUCUGCCUCCUGUCUCGCCUCCCUACAAUAAAGAUCUCCUGCUGG